rfam:Callipepla squamata strain Texas jcf7180005233811, whole genome shotgun sequence.
AUUUUUUGGUCCAUUAUUAUAUAGUCAUAAAACAAGCAUAUUUUCAAAUAUUCACACAGGCAGUGAUGUGUCUGUGUUUGAUGCCAUUGUUUUUCACAACGUGUGAUAAUGUUGUCUGUUAGCAUACAAAAUUUGACUCCAUAGAAGCAGCUGCAAGUGGAUGACCACAAUAUUCUUGAAUCUGCUAGGAAUGCACUAUUUGACCUAUACAGAUAUAAGUUCUUUGUGUUUAGGAGUUCUUUCAUGAAACGUUUUUGCAUUGAGUCUCAGCUGGUGUGCAUG